CACCUGUUUAACUGAAGAAGGGG
rnacentral:piRNA from 1 species